GAGACUCUGCGGUCUAGGCGGUAGGCAUGCAGUCUAAGGAUUUCUAUUUUUAACUUACUUAUGCCCAAGUUUUCAUAGUGAUGGCAACGCAAGGGAAUUGGAUCACGUCCACCGUUGCCGGUGGGUUCUCCGCUCGUCGGUUUUUACUAUUUGAUACUCAAGCUAUUAUUUUUAUCUUAUUUAAUUUAUUUCAAAUGAUAGUUCAUUUAAUCCGAUUUAUGAUGUAAGACUAAUCUAUUCAAUCAGAGGUGAUAGUUGUCUACGCGGCUUGAGUAAGGCUGGCUUCAUUGGGUAUCGUGUUUGAAC
rnacentral:lncRNA from 1 species